rnacentral:rRNA from 1 species
UACGUAGGGUGCAAGCGUUAAUCGGAAUUACUGGGCGUAAAGCGUGCGCAGGCGGUUGUGCAAGACAGAUGUGAAAUCCCCGGGCUUAACCUGGGAAUUGCAUUUGUGACUGCACGGCUAGAGUGUGUCAGAGGGGGGUAGAAUUCCACGUGUAGCAGUGAAAUGCGUAGAUAUGUGGAGGAAUACCGAUGGCGAAGGCAGCCCCCUGGGAUAACACUGACGCUCAUGCACGAAAGCGUGGGGAGCAA